GCAGGGGUCGUAGCUAACGGGGUAAGUUUUCCGCCUGGAAGUACGGUCGCAAGACUAAACUCAAGAUGACCGGGGGCCCGCACCAAGCGGUGAUUAUGUGGUUUAAUUCGAAGCAACGCGCAGAACCUUACCUAGGUUUGAAUCCUGAGAAUCACCCGAAAAGGUGGAGUGGCCCUUCGGGGAAUUCAGUGACAGGCGCUGCAUGGCUGUCGUCAGCUCGUGUCGUGAGAUGUUGGGUUAAGUCUCGCAACGAGCGCAACCCCUAUUUUUAGUUGCCAGCAUUAAGUUUGGGCACUCUAAAGAAACUGCCUGGGUUAACCAGGAGGAAGGUGGGGAUGACGUCAAGUCCUCAUGGCCCUUAUACCUAGGGCUACACACGUAAUACAAUGGCCAGUACAAGGGGAAGCGAACCCGCGAGGGCAAGCAAAUCUCUAAAAGCUGGUCUCAGUCCGGAUUGGAGUCUGCAACUCGACUCCAUGAAGUUGGAAUCGCUAGUAAUCGUGGAUCAGCACGCCACGGUGAAUACGUUCCCGGGCCUUGUACACACCGCCCGUCACACCAUGGGAGUUGGUUUUACCUGAAGUCGUGGCCCUAACUGCUUGCAGAGGGGAGCGCCUACGGUCGAACUGAUGACUGGGGUGAAGUCGUAACAAGGUAA
rnacentral:rRNA from 1 species